CUUGUUUAGACUACAUCCUAUUUGCCGAAAUGUAUCUUACUUUAUGAUGUGUAUUUAAAGGAGCCCUGUCUUGUGUCUAUUAGGAAGAGGUGUAACUCUGUUCUGCUGUCUCUAUUUUGGUAUGAGGCAGUAUAGAGAUACAAUGUCCCUCCUCCAAAAGGUGAGGCCACCUUCACAUUGAGUGUAAAAUCAUCUUCAAUAAGCGGAUGUCUGGAGGAUUCUGGGAAGAAAUUUGAAAUUCUUAUCACAGCCGCCUAUACUGGUGCCAGGGAAAAAUCUAACAUGGUUGUUAUUGAAGUCAAGAUGUUAUCUGGCUACAUUCCAGUGAAGCACACAAUAAGGAAGUUGGAGAAGAACAAACUGAUACAGAGAAGUGACAUCCAGGUUGACUCAGUGACUUUUUACCUGGACCAGGUCUGUAUAAGUCAUUAUUUUAGCUUUCAUGUUGCUAUUGUGUCACAGUAUAUUUACACUUUGGAUAAUAUCUAAACAUUUGGCAGAAAUUUGACACUGACCCUUGGAUUACUUCUAUAGAUAUUGUUAUACACUGCGCUCCGGCCAGGCAUGCCGGCCG